AAGAACCACUAAGAUGCCAACUCAGGAACCUUAGUUCUUAUUUCUUGCCAGAGUUUGGAAAAGGCAGUACUACUGUAUGUAAGAACUCUAAGUGGUGGUCUCAGCCCAAAAUCUCCUUAAGCUGAUAAGCAACUUCAGCAAAGUCUCAGGAUACAAAAUGAACGUGCGAAAAUCAUAAGCAUUCCUAUACAUGAAUAAUAGACAGAGAGCCAAAUCAUGAGCGAACUCCCAUUCACAAUUGCU
rnacentral:lncRNA from 10 species